rnacentral:rRNA from 1 species
UAUUAAGUACUUGUAUUUUUUUUAUAUAUUCCUCCUAUUUAAAACCUGCAUUAGUGCUCUUCAUCGAGUGUUUAUGUGGGCCGGUACAAUUACUUUGAACAAAUUAGAGUGCUUAAAGCAGCUUCAAAUGCCUGAAUAUUCUGUGCAUGGGAUAAUGAAAUAAGACCUCUGUUCUGCUUUCAUUUUUUUCAGAUCAAGAGGUAAUGAUUAAUAGAAGCAGUUUGGGGGCAUUAGUAUUACGACGCGAGAGGUGAAUUCUUGGACCGUCGUAAGACUAACUUAAGCGAAAGCAUUUGCCAAAGAUGUUUUCAUUAAUCAAGAACGAAAGUUAGAGGUUCGAAGGCGAUCAGAUACCGCCCUAGUUCUAACCAUAAACGAGGCCAGCUAGCAUUGGGUGUAGCUACUUUUAUGGCUCUCUCAGUCGCUUCCGGAAACCAAGCUUUUGGGCUCCGGGGAAAUGGUUGCAAAGCUGAAACUGGAAUUGACUUGCUUUGCUCCAACAACUGACGGAAUUGAAAACCACCAGGAGUGGAGCCUGCGCCGACUCAACACGGGAAAACUACCAGGUGUAAGACAGAUUGAUAGCUCUUUCUCGAAUCUAUGGGUGGUGUGCAUGGCCGUUCUUAGUUCGUGGAGUGAUUUGUCUGGUUAAUUCCGAUAACGAACGAGACUCAAAUAUAUUAAAUAGAUAUCUUCAGGAUUAUGGUGUUGAAGCUUAUAUAGCCUUCAUUCAUGGUGGCAGUAAAAUGUUAUUGUGUUUGAAUUGUUUUAUAAGUGGAGCCGUACCUGUUGGUUUGUCCCAUUAUAAGGACACUAGCUUCUUAAUGGACAAAUUGCGUCUAGCAAUAAUGAGAUUGAGCAAUAACAGGUCUGUGAUGCCCUUAGAUGUCCUGGGCUGCACGCGCGCUACAAUGAAAGUAUCAACGUGUAUUUCCUAGCCGAGAGGUCCGGGUAAACCGCUGAACCACUUUCAUGCUUGGGAUUGUGAACUGAAACUGUUCACAUGAACUUGGAAUUCCCAGUAAGUGUGAGUCAUUAACUCGCAUUGAUUACGUCCCUGCCCUUUGUACACACCGCCCGUCGCUACUACCGAUUGAAUUAUUUAGUGAGGUCUCCGGACGUGAUCACUGUGACGCCUUGCGUGUUACGGUUGUUUCGCAAAAGUUGACCGAACUUGAUUAUUUAGAGGAAGUAAAAGUCGUAACAAGGUUUCCGUAGGUGAACCUGCGGAAG